CGAUCAAACCCUAUCGUUACGUGUUCGCUGCUCUUCCCCUCAAAUUGAUUUUUGUUUCUGAUUUUGUUUCUGUUGUCCUCGGUGCCCCAAAUCGAUUUCAGAUUCUGUUGACCUAACGCCCAAAUUAAUUUCAUUUUCUAUUGUAUUCGCGCCCAAAUCGAUUUGCCUCCGAACCCUUUGAUUUCGUCGUUCACGCCCAAAAUCAUGAUAGAAACGAAAACCUAGCUUUGACAGUCGCUUGCUUGCUUCGAGUUUGACAAGUUGACGAAGAAACUAAAUCUUGAGUUUGAUUUUUCCAGUAAGGCACAAAUCAUCUACGACGAUUGCCUCAAUUUAUUCUCACGGUAUGAAAUCAAUUGAUUACUUAAAUUUUACAUCCAUUCUCUUAAACUUCUGAGUAGUUAUUUUCAAAAUUUUAUGUGAUAUAAGGUAUCCGGAGUUGUUCGUGGCCCUGUCAGAGGAGACAAAUCUGGUUGUGAAAGGAUAAUUGGUAAGUGGUGUUUAGUUUGUUGUUUGGAGGAGUUGUUUAUUCUGCUCUUAUAAUGUUCUGUUUGCCUUAGUUUUUGGAGGGGAGUUUUGGAUUAAGAAUUCUGGUGUGAUGAUUUUGUGUGGGUUUUUAGGGAGUUUUCAUGUUGUUAUUGGUGAGUUUUAUGUUUUCUGGUGUACUGUUGAUGUGGUUUAGGUUGAAGACAGUCUUGUUCCUCAUGAAAUCUUUGUAGCAUUUCCGUGUAUUUCUUGUUACAAAGUAUUGCUUAUAAAUAAGAUUAGUUGUUUCAAACAAAAAAGAAAGUAUCAGGGACGGUAGCAACUCAAGUUUUACUCUAAUUUUAAUGGUUGAACCAACAACAAUUUUCUAAAAGAAUUUAAGGGUUGGAGUCUUCCCAACAAGUAUCAAAAAUACGCUAACAAAAGUUGGUGUGUAUUAUAAUUAUGUUAGCAUGUAAGUGACCUCAAUCAUUCACAUUAUUUGUUUGUCAAGUGAUUGUGGUAAAAUAUUUUUGCUAUAGAAUUAUGUGUUCUUUUCACCACCUUAUAUGUUAGUGUUAGUAUAACUUAUAUUCGAAAAGGGUGCACAGAGAUAGUCAAAGAGACUUGAAUGAUCAUUUUAUCAAACUUAUUAGAGACAAACAUAAAUUGAGUAGUUAUGUUGUAACCUAUUUUGACUUAGGCAAUUGAAGGGAAUUGGGAGGAAAAUGCAUGAGUCGCUUUAAUAACUUGUUGUACCCUUUUUAAUUUUUACUCUAUAUCUUUGAAUAAAGUCUUUAUGAUAUAAAGUCGCUUUAAGUGUUUUUAAAACAGACGUAUGAUGAAUAUAUUAAUUAUUUCACCUUGCACUCAUACAUUGUUAUUUACCCUUUUUAUUUGAUGAAUAUAUUUUUAGCUUUCAAAAACUGUUAUUUUUUACAAAUAAGAAGCUACAGUUGAAUUUUUAACCAAGUUUAAUAUUUUUUUCUUACAAUUUGGUAUAUGUGCAGGGACUACGUUAAUGACGUUAUAGUCGGAGGAAUUAAUGAAGGGGUCUAGUUGCAGCGGCCAUUUUUAUGCUUUAGCUGAGUUUAGUCCACUUGUGUAUGUGAUAGCAUAACGGCAUCAUGACCAUUUAGGUGCAGGCUUGAGGGCAGUUGAGAUGCGCUGAAAGUGCAAGUAUAGUUCUCUGCAUCUUGAAGCCGAGGUCGUAGAAGCAGUGUUUGUAUGCGGCAUACGUGUAGUAAGAUUUAUAAGCAUGGUCCUUUUUAGAUGUUGACGAGUAGGAAAGUUAACGGAUAAGGUUUCUGCGUACUAUGCAGGUCGUCGAGGGAAUUCGAAAUACUUCAGACGUAUAUGAGUAAAGAUUAGGAGGGUAAAGUCCACUUAGGCUUGGUAAAGAGAAAAAAAUUAUAUAAAUAAAAUUGUGUUUUAUAGGUAAAAUAAGG
rnacentral:lncRNA from 1 species